rnacentral:rRNA from 1 species
UACGUAGGGGGCGAGCGUUGUCCGGAUUUAUUGGGCGUAAAGGGCCUGUAGGCGGUCUGCUACGUUCAUGCUGACGGGUGCCGGCUUAACCGGCGCAGAUGUGUGAAUACGAGCAGACUUGAGAGCGAGAGAGGGACAUGGAAUUCCAGGUGGAGCAGUGAAAUGCGUAGAGAUCUGGAGGAACACCGAAGGCGAAGGCAGUGUCCUGGCUCGUGUCUGACGCUGAGGGGCGAAAGCCAGGGGAGCGAACGGG